rnacentral:rRNA from 1 species
UACGGAGGGCGCGAGCGUUGUCCGGAAUCACUGGGCGUAAAGGGCGCGUAGGCGGCCUGGUAAGGCUCGCGUGAAAGCCCGGGGCUCAACCCCGGGUCGGCGCGGGCGACUGCUGGGCUGGAGCACGGUAGGGGCAGGCGGAAUUCCGGGUGUAGCGGUGGAAUGCGUAGAGAUCCGGAAGAACACCGGUGGCGAAGGCGGCCUGCUGGGCCGGAAGUGUCUUAACGGACACGUGCUGACGCUGAGGAGCGAAAGCGUGGGGAGCAAACAGG